AAAAUGUUAUCUGGCAUAAGUCAGCGUCAUGAUGUUCCAGGUUUGUACAUGCUUUUAGUCCUAACUAGUCAUAAUGGAUUUUCUCUAACGCUGUUGUUCUCAUCUGCUGUUAUUGACCAUAAAUUGUUUUCUUCAUCAUGAUUUUAUAUACUUUUUAAUCAGAAUUUUGAGUUUCGACUUCCUUUUGGUUUCAAUCUCUUACAUUCCUCCUUUUAUUUUAAUCCAUCUCUCAUCUAAUUAUCUCUGACUUUACUUUUUCUUCGCACGUCUGAAAUGCUCCUCCUCAUACGUGAAGAUGAGAAUAAUGUGCUGCUUGCCGUCACCGACGAAGGUAAUGACGACCCAAACCUUUUUUCCCCCUGUUGCUUUCUUUUGUCCCCAAUUGCUAUUUUUUAAGCCUUUUUACGUUGUCCAUAUGGUUAUGCUAAAAGUUAUAUCAUUUUAUUGAUUUGCUUUCUACUCUCACUUGAAACCUAAUUUCUUAAUUGUUGCAAAGGGUAAAAGGAAACGGGAAGAUAGAGCAUGGUCGAGAUUUCCCAAAAAUGAUAAGAGAUAGAAUUUGUUAUCGAAUAAUCAGGUGAGUAUAUCCAAACAAAACCAUUCAUUCUCUUUAAUUGAAUAUUUUCUAAUGUUGUCUCCUAAUUAAUAUUCACCUUUUUUUAAUUAUGAAUUUGGGGAUCUUUGAUUUUGUUUUUAUGAAAUAUAGUGACUAAACCCGUUCCUGGGAGUCAAGGAGAGCAUGGUGUUAUUGGAUCAGCAAGAAGAAUUCCUUUAAAUGAUAUUGCUAACGGUAAUGAAUCAAUUUAAAUGCAAUUUUGUAUAGUAGUGUAAUCAUUAUUAAUUGAAACACACUUCUGCAACUGCUAUUUCAACCUGUUGUAGUGAUUUUGGACGUACCUUUUUUUUUUGCAGCAUGAAGUGUGUUGGUUGUGUCUGUUUUAUAGCAAUUGUGCUUUGAACCAAAUAUGCCCUGUUUUUGCAGCAUCGUUAUUUUUCACUAUCAGAAUAUAAUUAUUAGCCUUCUAUGGAAGAAAUUGAGUUAGAGUUUUUGAAUUUGAUUUUGUAUAUCUGCAGUUGGUUCUUCAUCUUUAAAACAAACAGCAAAAUCAUCACCAACAACAAGUUCGUUGAAAGCAGAGAAAUAUACAGUACAUAAUGGUACAUUUAUUAAUCGCGCAAGAUGUUCACUAAGAGCUUCGUUUAGGCGGAAUGUGGAAUCUAUCAAACCACGUCAUAUUGCAUUCCAAGGUAAUUAUGUUUGAAUAUGCNNNNNNNNNNNNNNNNNNNNNNNNNUCUUAUGACUAUGAUUUAGUUGUUUAUAAUAACUUUUCCUAUCUGACAUAACCAGCAGAUAGGAAAUAUAAGUUCUUUAUUGAAACAUAUAAUUGUAAAUAUA
rnacentral:lncRNA from 1 species